rnacentral:rRNA from 1 species
AGCCAGGAUGUUGGCUUAGAAGCAGCCAUCAUUUAAAGAAAGCGUAAUAGCUCACUGGUCGAGUCGGCCUGCGCGGAAGAUGUAACGGGGCUAAACCAUGCACCGAAGCUGCGGCAGCGACACUCAGGUGUUGUUGGGUAGGGGAGCGUUCUGUAAGCCUGCGAAGGUGGCCUGUGAGGGUUGCUGGAGGUAUCAGAAGUGCGAAUGCUGACAUAAGUAACGAUAAAGCGGGUGAAAAGCCCGCUCGCCGGAAGACCAAGGGUUCCUGUCCAACGUUAAUCGGGGCAGGGUGAGUCGACCCCUAAGGCGAGGCCGAAAGGCGUAGUCGAUGGGAAACGGGUUAAUAUUCCCGUACUUGGUGUUACUGCGAAGGGGGGACGGAGAAGGCUAUGUUGGCCGGGCGACGGUUGUCCCGGUUUAAGCGUGUAGGUGUGUGUUCCAGGUAAAUCCGGUUCACUUUAACACUGAGGCGUGAUGACGAGGCACUACGGUGCUGAAGCAACAAAUGCCCUGCUUCCAGGAAAAGCCUCUAAGCAUCAGGUAACAUCAAAUCGUACCCCAAACCGACACAGGUGGUCAGGUAGAGAAUACCAAGGCGCUUGAGAGAACUCGGGUGAAGGAACUAGGCAAAAUGGUGCCGUAACUUCGGGAGAAGGCACGCUGACACGUAGGUGAAGUGAUUUACUCAUGGAGCUGAAGUCAGUCGAAGAUACCAGCUGGCUGCAACUGUUUAUUAAAAACACAGCACUGUGCAAACACGAAAGUGGACGUAUACGGUGUGACGCCUGCCCGGUGCCGGAAGGUUAAUUGAUGGGGUCAGCGCAAGCGAAGCUCCUGAUCGAAGCCCCGGUAAACGGCGGCCGUAACUAUAACGGUCCUAAGGUAGCGAAAUUCCUUGUCGGGUAAGUUCCGACCUGCACGAAUGGCGUAAUGAUGGCCAGGCUGUCUCCACCCGAGACUCAGUGAAAUUGAACUCGCUGUGAAGAUGCAGUGUACCCGCGGCAAGACGGAAAGACCCCGUGAACCUUUACUAUAGCUUGACACUGAACAUUGAGCCUUGAUGUGUAGGAUAGGUGGGAGGCUUUGAAGUGUGGACGCCAGUCUGCAUGGAGCCGGCCUUGAAAUACCACCCUUUAAUGUUUGAUGUUCUAACGUGGACCCGUGAUCCGGGUUGCGGACAGUGUCUGGUGGGUAGUUUGACUGGGGCGGUCUCCUCCUAAAGAGUAACGGAGGAGCACGAAGGUUGGCUAAUCCUGGUCGGACAUCAGGAGGUUAGUGCAAUGGCAUAAGCCAGCUUGACUGCGAGCGUGACGGCGCGAGCAGGUGCGAAAGCAGGUCAUAGUGAUCCGGUGGUUCUGAAUGGAAGGGCCAUCGCUCAACGGAUAAAAGGUACUCCGGGGAUAACAGGCUGAUACCGCCCAAGAGUUCAUAUCGACGGCGGUGUUUGGCACCUCGAUGUCGGCUCAUCACAUCCUGGGGCUGAAGUAGGUCCCAAGGGUAUGGCUGUUCGCCAUUUAAAGUGGUACGCGAGCUGGGUUUAGAACGUCGUGAGACAGUUCGGUCCCUAUCUGCCGUGGGCGCUGGAGAACUGAGGGGGGCUGCUCCUAGUACGAGAGGACCGGAGUGGACGCAUCACUGGUGUUCGGGUUGUCAUGCCAAUGGCACUGCCCGGUAGCUAAAUGCGGAAGAGAUAAGUGCUGAAAGCAUCUAAGCACGAAACUUGCCCCGAGAUGAGUUCUCCCUGAGACUUUAGGUCUCCUGAAGGAACGUUGAAGACGACGACGUUGAUAGGCCGGGUGUGUAAGCGCAGCGAUGCGUUGAGCUAACCGGUACUAAUGAACCGUGAGGCUUAACCUU